rnacentral:rRNA from 1 species
GACGAACGCUGGCGGCGUGCUUAACACAUGCAAGUCGAACGGAAAGGCCCUGCUUUUGUGGGGUGCUCGAGUGGCGAACGGGUGAGUAACACGUGAGUAACCUGCCCUUGACUUUGGGAUAACUUCAGGAAACUGGGGCUAAUACCGGAUAGGAGCUCCUGCUGCAUGGUGGGGGUUGGAAAGUUUCGGCGGUUGGGGAUGGACUCGCGGCUUAUCAGUUUGUUGGUGGGGUAGUGGCUUACCAAGGCUUUGACGGGUAGCCGGCCUGAGAGGGUGACCGGCCACAUUGGGACUGAGAUACGGCCCAGACUCCUACGGGAGGCAGCAGUGGGGAAUAGUGCACAAUGGGCGGAAGCCUGAUGCAGCAACGCCGCGUGCGGGAUGACGGCCUUCGGGUUGUAAACCGCUUUCGCCUGUGACGAAGCGUGAGUGACGGUAAUGGGUAAAGAAGCACCGGCUAACUACGUG